UGGUCGGCAGGGUGGGCUGCCAAAGGAAAGCCUGCUGUUACUCGGGUAAACACAUCCUGCUGGCCCAUCGGCUCUCCAUGAGGAGUCAGGCACUCUUACAAUCUUCAUUUUGUGGAGGAGGAAGCUGGGACUCAGAGAGGAGCUGGCGAAGGAAGCACACAUGAGCUGAGCGCUUGUGUCUGGAGGGCCAGGUGGAAGCCGAGCCGAGCACGGGAGGGUUUCUGUUAGUUGCAUGGUGUUCCGGCUCCAGACCGCGGUGUGACCGCGAACCACGCGCGAUCCGCUGAGCUCCCAGCUCUUACAGGAACGGACGAGGCCGCCAUUUUUUGGACGUGGGAGGCGAACGGAAGAGGCCUUCGGUGUCAAGCUUCUUACAUUCCCCAGGCUCUGGUCCUAGUUUACGUCAUCAAAGCUGACCUGGGGGGAAAGGGGAAAGAAGAACCCGUGUGUCACGU